ACCGAAGCAAUGCAAGUAUGUCUCAGCACCAGCCAGGCACUCUGUGAUCAAUGAAAGAAGACCCUAAAGGCAGACCAGUAGUCUCCUUUACUGGAUUGAAUCAGAUCUACUUUAGGCUCUAUGGAGAUUUCCAUCAGAAUGACCUCUCUCAGCUCAGGUUUUGACGUCUGAUCCUUCAAGAAACUAGAGAAUCCUUCUCAAGAGAAAAGAAAUUGUCCAUAAGGCCAGUCCAGAAACACUACCCUGCCCCAACGUUGUGUCUUGGGAUUGCCUAUAAAGGAAUUCUUUGUGUU
rnacentral:lncRNA from 1 species